CCUUGAGCCUGGGUGUGUCGUAGUUUUCUUUGUCUGACACUUCAGUUGGUGGACACCUGAUUUGUUAAGAAUAACGAGGAUGCUAUACUCUAUUACUUAAUAAACGACUUUAAACAACAACAAAAAAAGGAAUACCAGUUUGCAGAGGGCUGAGGGCAUUGCAGAUACCACCAUCCCCGUCAUUCGGUCAGGGGGUGCCAUUGCUGAAGUUUUGCAUAACCUACCAAGUAUCUCACUUGGAUGUGUGAUGCUCCUUGCACUGAUCUAUUCACACACCUUAAGCUAUCCUUAGGACCUAAACUGUCAUGAUCCAUGAAACUGGAGAUACUGCUGAAAAUAAAGGCGCUCAAGUCAUUAAGUAAG